CCCUUAGACGUUCUGGGCCGCACGCGCGCUACACUGACGAAGGCAACGAGCUUUCCUUUACCGAAAGGUACGGGUAAUCUUUUGAAACUUCGUCGUGCUGGGGAUAGAUCCUUGCAGUUUUUGAUCUUAAACGAGGAAUGCCUAGUAAGCGCAAGUCAUCAACUUGCGCUGAUUACGUCCCUGCCCUUUGUACACACCGCCCGUCGCUACUACCGAUUGAAUGGUUUAGUGAGGCCUUCGGAUCCGCGACUCGUUUGUGGAGAAGUUGGACAAACUCAGUCAUUUAGAGGAAGUAAAAGUCGUAACA
rnacentral:rRNA from 1 species